CUACGGGUUGCAGCAGUGAGGAAUUUUGCGCAAUGGGGGCAACCCUGACGCAGCAACGCCGCGUGAGUGAAGAAGGCCUUUGGGUCGUAAAGCUCUGUCAACAGGGAAGAAGUUAUAAUUAUUUAAUAGAUAAUUGUAUUGACGGUACCUGUGGAGGAAGCGCCGGCUAACUCCGUGCCAGCAGCCGCGGUAACACGGGGGGCGCAAGCGUUAUUCGGAAUUAUUGGGCGUAAAGGGCGCGCAGGCGGUCUUGUCCGUCAGGUGUGAAAGCUCGGGGCUCAACCCCGGAAGUGCACUUGAAACAGCAAGACUUGAAUACGGGAGAGGAGAGAGGAAUUCCUGGUGUAGAGGCGAAAUUCGUAGAUAUCAGGAGGAACACCGAUGGCGAAGGCAUCUCUCUGGACCGAUAUUGACGCUGAGGCGCGAAGGCGUGGGUAGCGAACGGGAUUAGAUACCCCGGUAGUC
rnacentral:rRNA from 1 species